UACGGAGGGUGCGAGCGUUGUUCGGAAUCACUGGGCGUAAAGGGUGCGUAGGUGGCGAGGAAAGUCUGAUGUGAAAUCUCCGGGCUUAACCCGGAAAUGGCAUUGGAAACUACCUUGCUCGAGGAUUGGAGGGGGGACUGGAAUACUUGGUGUAGCAGUGAAAUGCGUAGAUAUCAAGUGGAACACCAGUGGCGAAGGCGAGUCCCUGGACAACUCCUGACACUGAGGCACGAAAGCUAGGGGAGCAAACGGG
rnacentral:rRNA from 1 species